rnacentral:rRNA from 1 species
UACGAAGGGGGCUAGCGUUGUUCGGAAUUACUGGGCUUAAAGCGUGCGUAGGCGGCCUAGCAAGUCGGGUGUGAAAGCCCUCGGCUCAACCGAGGAAUUGCGCCCGAAACUGCUGGGCUUGAGUGAGACAGAGGUGAGCGGAACUGAUGGUGGAGCGGUGAAAUGCGUUGAUAUCAUCAGGAACACCGGUGGCGAAGGCGGCAUCCUGGACCGACACUGACGCUGAGGAGCGAAAGCCAGGGGAGCAAACGGG